UCCAAUAUAUAUUAAAAACAAUUUUAUUCAGAACGUUUAAAUUUAUAUGCUAUUUAAGUAUCAUUGUUCUUCGUAAUUACAUGAGACAAUGAGUUCACAAUUCUAAAAUUGGUUUUUAAAAUAUUGUUUUUAUAAACAGGAAAUACUAAUACAGAAAUAAAACAUUGUUGCAAAGUAAUUUAAGUAUGUAAAACACAGUAUUGGCUAAAACUAAAGCUCUAUUUAGAACGUUUUUUAAUAUUGCGUCGUAAAAUAAAAAAGAAAACAAUAACUUGUUGCAUAUAUUAUUAGAUUAUGUAUUUCCCUACAAUUAUAAUAGUUAUUAUUUUCCUAAAGUUCCUGAAAGUUUUACUCAAAAUAUUUCAUGAUAGUAAAUAUUAAAGGAACAAAAUUAAAGCAGCUUCCUAGAUUGUCAAUAAAUAUGAUUCUGUGCUAAUAUUUUGUAUUGAAUAAUACUGUUGCGAAUUUGCUCCCUGCUAGUUUUACUUUACUAGGUUCGUAUCUCUGGAUUGACAAAUAAAACUAAAAGCCGUUUAAUUCAAUUCAACAACUCUUUAUUUUACAACUCGUCUACACUAUAACAGUUUACUCUUAGCACUGGUUGAUUACGUUGGCGCUGCCACGGCUUAUAUAGCCACGCACUUCUCGCUGAUGCCGACGUGUCCUUCUAGAAUAUUGCGUCUGGAAAUUACAAGAACAUAACGCUAUACGGCGCCAGACGCAAGCAGACAGCCGCGGCGCCAGACUCAGCAAUUGUUAAAGUAGACAAGCAGACAGUGCGGCGCCAGAUGUCUAUUGUUUCGACAAGCAGACAGCCGCGGCGCUAGAUGUCUACAACAAGACAAAUGCUAUUCCAUAUACCUACAGCUAUUGUUCAUAAUAAGGGAUACAUAUAGCAAUACAAAUACAACUUAAUACUACUUUUGUAACAAUACUAAGCGUGUUUUGUAUCUCCAUCCCAAUACUACAACUUAGAACGUUUUGUUAUUACCUUGGAGUAGAUUAUACUUUGGUUGGAGAUGUAUUAAAUAUCAUUAUCUCGCUGGUACCACCGGUCUAAAUGACAUUAUCUUUUUAAUUCGUAGCAAGAUUUCUAUGAAAUGUAGGUGUCCGAUCUAUUGUUACUGUAAUCGUAUCUUGAAAUAAUAUGUGUAAUUAAGUUUCAUCACAUUGGUCCAAUCAAUUUGAGCUUUGGUGAAUUUUGGUGAAAUAUUUCUUCUUGUUACUCUCACGUCACAUGUAGUUUUAUCAACUCGGGGGUUUCACCCUAUAUUUUUGGGUCACAACACUUGAAUUUUUAUUUAAAAUAUAUUUUUUUUAACUGAAGAAUAUGAAAAAUGAGUUACAAAAUACGUUCAUAUCGAGGCGAAGUAAAAUUGUUGGGCUACUCUUCUCUUCUUAUGCUCUGAUAAUUUUAAAUAUUUUCCAAUCAUUUUCAAAGUGAUAACUAGGAUAUUUGAAGAUAUAUUUUUCUUAUCUUCUUCUUCUCUUUAAUCUUUCACACAAUACGCUCGAUAGAACCUUAUACGCGAUGUUGAGCGGGCCGGGGAAUCGGGUUCGCCUUCUGCUGGCGUUAUACUUUCACCGCCCUCUAUAAUUUUAGUAUGCUCUGGGCAUCAGUCACUAGAUCACCUCAAGGUUUUACAAGAGUAUGCUCCGGUCUUGAAACCUUUUUCUAGUCGCCGCAUCUUUUCGUAGAAUUUUCGAUUUACCCUGUCGGCCAGCUUGACAAGCUCUGCGUACUCACGCAUUUCGGGCUCUUUUUUUUGUCUUCAAAUGCGUCUGGUUUCCCCUUCAACUCACGGUACCUAUCCCAUCCGGUGUUGUGGUCGGGUGUUUGUUCUUUUGCAUUUUCCGAAAACCAAUGGUUUCGGUUGCAGCUGUACGUAAGAAGCUUGAAAUGCCGUCCCACAGUUCCCUUAUACCGAGUUGUUGACGAGUGUUCUCAGAAAGCAGGGGUGCGAUUCGGGUAGAAAAUCGUUCGGCUAUCUGUUGUGAUUGCAACUUUUCGACGUCGAACCUUCUUUUGUUGACGUAGGUGCGUGUUUUUGCUGCACAGAGGCGGGUGCGAAUCUUGGCUGCAACAAGAUACGCACGUCUAGAACACUGGAGACGUGUCUUCCGUCUAUCACAACAUGUUCAAUCUGGUUGGUGGCUUUUCGAUCCGGAUACAGCCAGGUAGCUUCAUUUAUUUUCUUAUGCUGGAAUCUAGUACUGCAGAUAGCCAUAUUUCGGGCCCCGGAUAAGUCGAUCAGCCUCAACCCAUUUGUUGUUGUGUUUUCUUGUGGAUGCUAAAUUUACCGACUGUGGCGCCAAAGAUACCUUCCUUGUCCACCCUGGUGUUAAAGUCGUCAAGCACGAUUUUGACGUCGCGUCGGGGUGCGACCCAAAAGCUCAUAGAAGGCAUCUUUAGUCACAUCGUCCUUCUCUUCCGUUGGAGCACAAGCACCUACUCGCCUCAGUGUGCUAGCCUUUAUUUGCACGAAGACAUCAACCUGUUGGUCAGCGACAUCUUCUCAAUUAAGGGACCUGACGUUCCAGGUGCAUGCCCUCAAAUCGUAAUCCUUAAUGCAUUUACCAUGGUCGUCAUCAAACGGGGAUUUUCUCUUCCGAGACUUUUUGUUCCUUUUCAUGUGGGGCGUUUUUUACGUGGCGGGUCCUAAACCCAGCGCACAACCCUGUGGAGGGAAUGUUUCGCCUUCUCACUUAGCUCGCCUUCAAUCGGGUGUUCUUAGGCUACUUAGAAGAUACUUGGCCAAAGACCCAAGUGAAUGGCAAUCAGAGAAAUUUCCUCACUUCUACACAUGACUCCAUCCUCCACGUUUUCUUAUACAGAAUGUUUUUUACCAACUGUUUGUAUCAUGUUUUUAUCAAUCCGAUAUUAAAGAAUGACGUUUUUUUUAACAAAUUCUCAAACAUUUGGGAGAGAUAGGGCCUCUACUAUGUUUGCGAAUAUUGAGUUGAUAUUUAUUUAAAGUCGAAUUUGUUUUAUGCUAUUUUUCAUUACUAACUUUUUAAGUGCGGAAAAAAUUCUGAAAAUAAUUGUUUUUUGUAAUUGAUUAUAUAAGCUAAAAAUAUAUGCAAAAAGUUUUUACUAUUUAUCUGAUAUCUUUGAUUUAAGAAAAGCUAAUUUCAAAAUGUCCGCUCUGGGGGUAAUACUGGCUAUGUACGAGUGAGUACGCACAAAAUACCUGAGGUUAAAUAAACUAUAAAUCUUCGUCUUACAUUUACUAAUUUAUUUACUGUCUAUAAAUGAAACAUCAGCUGAUUGAAAAACAAACACAAUAUUUCCCAAAAUAAAUAUUUCGCAGUAAAGAUCCCAAGGAAAAAUUAAAAAUAAAUAAAAAAAAAAAAA